UCAGGAACCUUGGCAACCACAACUGGAUCAACAAACCAGAGCCUAUCCAAACAGUCUUCAACAGCCGCCACUGCACAAACAACGAUGCCUCCUGUACAACCACAGCAAAUGAAUACAGGAAACAUAGCACUGUAUGCAGGGGCUGGUGGCGGAGCUUUUGUGGUGAUUCUUAUCGUAUUGAUCAUUGUAGCUGUUAUUUACAGAAAAAG